GUCAAAGGCUAUGCCUCGCUGAGUAUAUCGGUUCUCGUUCGAUCACCGAAAUUAAGCAGCGUUGGGUUCGGUUAGUACUAAUUUAGGGAACUGCUUGGGAACACCGCGUGUUUAUGGCA
rnacentral:rRNA from 2 species